rnacentral:rRNA from 1 species
GACGUAGGGCGCGAGCGUUGUCCGGAUUUAUUGGGCGUAAAGAGCUCGUAGGCGGGUUUGUCGCGUCUGCUGUGAAAACUGGAGGCUCAACCUCCAGCCUGCAAUGGGUACGGGCAGACUAGAGUGCGGUAGGGGAGAUUGGAAUUCCUGGUGUAGCGGUGAAAUGCGCAGAUAUCAGGAGGAACACCGAUGGCGAAGGCAGGUCUCUGGGCAUUAACUGACGCUGAGGAGCGAAAGCAUGGGGAGCGAACAGG